rnacentral:rRNA from 1 species
AUCAGCAGCUAUAUCACCCUGCAAUUCAAAACUGGGAGCCCACUGAAGCUCAGCAGGCAUGAGCCUGGUCAGUACCUGGAUGGGAGACCUCCUGGGAAAGCUGAGGUUACUGCUGGAA